GACUACCGGGGUAUCUAAUCCCGUUCGCUCCCCUGGCUUUCGUGCCUCAGCGUCAGAAGAGCUCCAGUAAGCCGCUUUCGCCACUGGUGUUCCUUAGGAUAUCAACGCAUUUCACCGCUCCACCCUAAGUUCCGCUUACCUCUAACUCCCUCGAGCCCAACAGUUUUGAGCGCAAUUCCUCGGUUGAGCCGAGGGAUUUCACACCCAACUUGUCAGGCCGCCUACGCACCCUUUAAGCCCAGUGAUUCCGAAUAACGUUUGCCCGGUUCGUGUUACCGCGGCUGCUGGCACGAACUUAGCCCGGACUUCCUCUGCGGAUAGGUCAAACCCUGCUCUUCACAGAGCCUUCCUCCCCACUGACAGCGGUUUACAACCCGAGGGCCUUCAUCCCGCACGCGGCGUCGCUCGGUCAGGCUUUCGCCCAUUGCCGAAGAUUCUCGACUGCAGCCCCCCGUAGG
rnacentral:rRNA from 1 species